CGGCUGAGCUACAUCUCAAAGACGCUGUAGUGAAUGAGAAACAGGACCUCAAAUGUCACAUGCAGUAUGAUUCCAUUUGUGUAACCUUCUUGAGAUGACAAAAUUAUACAGACGGAACACAAAUUGGUGGUUGCUGCUGCAUUGUGGUAGUGGUUCCGCAAAUCCACACUUGUGACAAACUGACAUCAAACCCCACACAUGCUAUACAAUGCCGGUUUCCAUUUUGGAUGCUGGUCUGUAAUCAUUGGGAACUUUCCCAGGAAGACAGGCACUGGCUCGUAUGUUGGAAGGCCAGGUCACAGAAGAAGACCUGUGUCCAGCCAUGGUGUGGAGCCAGCCCACACAGCUCCUUUGAGAUCAUCUGAUGACAG